ACCCUAUAUCUGACCUAGAAACUAUCAAAUAAGGAUCAUAUGACAUGAAUAAAUACAACAUCUGAAUUUAAAUAAUUGAUCAUAUUAAUUUUGCAAUUAGAUCGAAUCUGAAACAAACAUUCUAAUCAAAAGCGGAUCCUAUCUACUGAGAUUAGAUUCCUUAUCAGAGUGUGGAUCGAUGAUCAUUGUUGCUGAUAGAUAUGAUAAAAGGUUCUUCCUGA
rnacentral:lncRNA from 1 species